GACAAACUGAAUAAGUAUUUUGCAUCAGUCUUCACUGUGGAAUACACCAACUGUGUGCCAGAAAUUCAAGAGCGUCAAGGGGAAGAAUGAAAUCAGAGCAAGUGAUAGCAACAUCUGUGCAAUGCUGGACAGCGAAUAGACUGGAAGGUGUAACCUAACGAGCAAGGGACUGGCAUUCGAUGUGUUCAGCCUGUCUUUGUGGUUGGAGAAGCAGAAAGCUUGUAUUUCAUUUAUUCUUGGAGCAUUUGCAAUUUACACGUCACCAUCCCACAUGCUCUGAUGGUGACAUGCUCUGUAAACUGUAAAAUAGCCCAGCAGAUUUCCUUCUACUUUGACGCCUGGUAUGGAAACAUCAAUGCCCUCGAAUGGAAAAUCCUACAAAAUAUAGCGGAUAUGACCCAGUCCAUCAUGGGUAAAGCCCUCCCCACCAUUGAGCACAUUUACAUGAAGCGUUGUCACAGGAAAGCAGCAUCCAUCAUCAGAGACCCCCACCACCCAGAUCAUGCUCUCUUCUUACUGCUGCCAUCCGGAUGAAGGUACAGGAGCCUCAGGACUCACCAUACCAGGUUCAGGAACAGUCAUUACCCGUCAGCCAUCAGGCUUUUGAACCAAGAUGGAUAACUUCAUUUGUCCCAUCACUGAACUGUUCCCACAACCUAUGGGCUCACUUUCAAGGACUCUUCAUCUCAUAUUCUCAAUAUUUAUUGCUUAUUUAUUGAUGAUUAUUAUUUCUUUCUUUUUUGAUUUGUAUAGUUUGUUGACUUUUGCACACUGGUUGUACAUCUAAGUUGGUGUGGUCUUACAUUGAAUUUAUUAUGAUUAUUAUUCUAUUAUAGAUUUAUUGAGUAUGCCCACAAGAAAAUGA